GGCACAGUGAAGCCGAGGAGGGCUGAGGUGGUACCUUUCACGGUUCCCAGCAAGAGUGACAAAACCCUGUUGGUGUGGGAGCUGAGCCUUGACCCCACGGUCAAAGCCUUGCAUCCUUUUCCCGCUUCGCCUUCUGUGUGCGGUGCGCGUCUUCCCCAACGCUGUGGCCGCCCCGCCGGUUUUUACGCAGCGGUCAUUUUAUUCUGCGCGCGCUGCUCACUCAGCCCAAGGGGCCUGCGGCCGGCAGCCGCUCUUCCAGUUCUCUCCGCUGAAGCUCAUUCUCACUCCCCGUCCUUUCCUCCAUGCCUGCGCCUUCAUCAGACAUGAGAGCACCCCUCCGUGGUGACCAUAGACUCAGCUGUUCAGAUUAAUCAGAGACUAUGGAAAUAAUGCAGAAAAGUACCAUGGCUUGAAAAUAAUGAGUAUUAGUCUUUAGUAUGAACAUAAUGUCUAAACUGUUUAAGGAACAAAGAAAUAGGUCAGGAGUUAAUGUGCUGACCUUGCUUGCUGCUAACCCAGUUCUAUACCCAGCAACACAUAGAUUCCCCCAACCAACAUGUGGAGUAUACCCAGAGCACAGAGCUAGGAGUAACUGAUUACUGCUGAGUAUGGCUCUGAAACAAGAGCAACCACCAAAGUUUGCUUGAUUUGCUCUUCACAGCCACUUUAUGAAACUUGUAUUGAGAAGUCUUGGUCGGCUGAAUUAGAUCUCUGUGGCAAGUCAUUCCUAUCCUUGAGUAUGUCUCUUAUGUCUUUAGGUUCGUCUCAGCAGACAUAAACCACUUCAGCAUUGGACACUUGCCCUAAAAUGUUCCCAAUGCCAGGAACUGGCAAAAUGCUAUCUUGGUUUCAAUGGAUGGUCUGAAAGGAUUGUCAGCUUUGGAAGUGGAGA